rnacentral:rRNA from 1 species
GACGAACGCUGGCGGCGUGCUUAACACAUGCCAGUCGAACGGAAAGGCCCUGCUUUUGUGGGGUGCUCGAGUGGCGAACGGGUGAGUAACACGUGAGUAACCUGCCCUUGACUUUGGGAUAACUUCAGGAAACUGGGGCUAAUACCGGAUAGGAGCUCCUGCUGCAUGGUGGGGGUUGGAAAGUUUCGGCGGUUGGGGAUGGACUCGCGGCUUAUCAGCUUGUUGGUGGGGUAGUGGCUUACCAAGGCUUUGACGGGUAGCCGGCCUGAGAGGGUGACCGGCCACAUUGGGACUGAGAUACGGCCCAGACUCCUACGGGAGGGAGCAGUGGGGAAUAUUGCACAAUGGGCGGAAGCCUGAUGCAGCAACGCCGCGUGCGGGAUGACGGCCUUCGGGUUGUAAACCGCUUUCGCCUGUGACGAAGCGUGAGUGACGGUAAUGGGUAAAGAAGCACCGGCUAACUACGUG